rnacentral:rRNA from 1 species
CCUACGGGCGGCUGCAGUGAGGAAUAUUGGUCAAUGGGCUUACGCCUGAACCAGCCAAGUCGCGUGAGGGAAGACUGCCCUAUGGGUUGUACACCUCUUUUGUCAGGGAGCAAUUGGCGCUACGUGUAGCGUUAUCGAGAGUACCUGAAGAAAAAGCAUCGGCUAACUCCGUGCCAGCAGACGCGGUAAUACGGAGGAUGCGAGCGUUAUCCGGAUUUAUUGGGUUUAAAGGGUGCGUAGGUGGUUAAUUAAGUCAGCGGUGAAAGUUUGUGGCUCAACCAUAAAAUUGCCGUUGAAACUGGUUGACUUGAGUAUAUUUGAGGUAGGCGGAAUGCGUGGUGUAGCGGUGAAAUGCAUAGAUAUCACGCAGAACUCCGAUUGCGAAGGCAGCUUACUAAACUAUAACUGACACUGAAGCACGAAAGCGUGGGGAUCAAACAGGAUUAGAUACCCCGGUAGUC